AGCGGUUCCAUAUCAUUUCAGCAACGAGUAAUUUUCAUAUAUCUUUAUUUGGAUGAAACCUUGCAUACAAGUCUUUGGGGGAGAAAAACGCCGUUUUGCAUACUUGGUUCGCCAUUUUGAAUCUAGCCUUACUUAUGAGAAGGGCCUAUGAAAAAUGCACAUGAUAUCUUUAAAAAAUUGUAUCUCGAAAACGGUUUGUCCGAUCGGUUUGGUGUCUUCGGCGAAGUUUUAGACAAUUGUUGGUGCUGAUUUGAACUAAAAUAUAGAUUUUCCCUCAAAAGCGACAUGUCAAUAUUUUUUAUUAUCCUUAUGUUAUAGCUGACUGAAAAUGCUACCUAGUGCACAGUGGGUUGUUCUGGAGAAAAAUAGGUUACAAUGAAAAAAAAAAUGUUUUAAAAAAUUACGGUUUUCAAAAAAAGCUAUUAAGUAAAGUCAAAAAAGUUUGUCGCCCUAAUUUUAUGAAAGUACAUCAAAUUUGCAAGAAAAAAGUACUUCGGUAACAUUUUUCUAAGAUGCACCGUUUAGAAGAUAUUACUAAUUUAAUAUUGAUUUUUUUGAUAACUUAAUAAGUUUUAGCCCUUUUCGGAUGUACUCCGUGUUUCUCCAGUUUCAAAAGUAUUUUUUUCGGAAAGAUUGGAAAAUUUUGAGUUAAAAUGACACUGACAGCUUAAAGAUUUGAGUGAAAUUCUCUGCCUUAGAAGUAUUUUGAAACAAGUUACAAAAUCCCACUAUCAAGAACAAUGAUUUCUUCCAGUGGUUUUUAUUGCCUUCUGCUGAAAACGUGCUAAUAAGAUAUUAUAUUAUUAGAUACAGGUAAUUAGAUACCAGUUAGCUGUACUACGUACAGUUGGUGAUUGUAAACAUGGUCUUUGUUGGAACUAGUCCACCAUGGCCACGCUGGCCCAGGCUUGUAAACAUUCGACACUUUUCACUGCCUUCAUUUCGUUGUCGCGGUCGGGUGUCAGCUUGCUUUAUUUCAUUCGAACGCGACCGCUACCUCUUACACACAACACAAGCGGCAGAACAAAGAUCAAUAAACAAAAAAGUGGAUCAAAUCAACGUAGUCUGACACGAUGACAUUAGUAUAAUUCCAGCUUUUCGCAAGAUUUCAGCCAAUUUUGAUUAAAAUUGGUAUAAUAUUAGUAUAAUAUUAGUCACCUUCCAUCAAACUAGACGGCUGCCGACUGAUACCUCAAUCAACAACCGCCGCACUCUUUAUUCAUUCCAGGUAUAUACAAUUUACAAUCUUCUUCAAUAACAAUAUACCUACGCCAGCAAAUCUACCUCGCUCCAACUCUCCAAACUCGUACCUGACGAUACCUGAGCGUUCAACUCUACCUAUCUUCCAGCAGUCUUUACCCAGCAUUCUAUGAUUUAUACCCGUGAGCUGUAUAAUAAUGUCUGACUCGGUUCUGAAUUCAUCCAGUAUCUACUAGGGAAAACCAAACAGUAAAUGCAGAAAGGUUGCUAGAAGCAUAGUGAUUUCAUAGUAAUUUCAGCUAAUAAUCCAGUGUUUUUGAACUAGAUCCAGUGUUGUUUGAUAACAUAAUAAUUGUAAAGGAAAGUGUAACACGUUUUGGUGCAAAGAUUACAAAAUGAGUAAAAUCAGAUGUAUUCGUCCAUUCAAAGACAUUCAGUGUUCGAAAGAGCUGCGAUAUCUCACGGAUGGUAUCAUCCAAAAACUAAAGUCAAUUGGAUUUUCCAAGGUAUCCACACUGAACACCAAGGAUUUUCGUAUUUGUUCGUCUUGCCGUCUACAUAUUGAUUCAAGAGCUCACCUCACCCAAAACGAAGAACAAAGCGUAGCCGGUGGCUCAAGGAUGCCAACUGUUCAGACCAUACCUGUUGUACCUGAUUCGCAAAGCUAUGAAAGUUUGGUCACGAUACCAUCAGCGUCAACGCUAAGCACAAUUCAAUCAAAUGAAGACUUCACGAUGCCUGUAGACGUCGAAAUAUUCAACCGAGGAAUAGCAGCUAUUCGUGUUUCGCCUAUAGAUUUAGGUAA